GAUGAACGCUGGCGGCGUGCCUAAUACAUGCAAGUCGAGCGAACAGACGAGGAUCUUGCUCCUCUGACGUUAGCGGCGGACGGGUGAGUAACACGUGGAUAACCUACCUUUAAGACUGGGAUAACUUCGGGAAACCGGAGCUAAUACCGGAUAAUAUAUUGAACCGCAUGGUUCAAUAGUUAAAUACGGUUUUUCUUUCUCUUAUAGCUUGAUCCGCGCCGCAUUAGCUAGUUGGUAAGGUAACGGCUUACCAAGGCAACGAUUCUUAGCCGACCUGAGAGGGUGAUCGGCCAGACUGGAAGAGAGACAGGGACAAGACUCCUACGGGAGGCAGCAGUAGGGAAUCUGACGCAAUGGGCGAAAGCAUGACGGAGCAAAGCCGAGUGAGUGAUGAAGGACUUAGGAUCGUAAAACUAUGUUAUUAGGGAAGAAAAAAAGUGUAAGUAACUAUGCACGUAUUGACGGUACCUAAACAGAAAGCCACGGCUAACUACGUG
rnacentral:rRNA from 1 species